AUCCUCCUGAUGGCACAGAAGACAACACUCUCUGGAAAAACAGAGGUUCACAUCUGGAGGGGAAUUUGCCUCAGAAUGAAUCAUACCUUGAGCCUCACCCACACCUGAUUUAGAUGACAUUUAGGUUUAGGUAUCCUUCAAAACC